UACGGAGGGUGCAAACGUUGCUCGGAAUCAUUGGGCGUAAAGCGCACGUAGGCGGCUAGAUAAGUCGGGUGUGAAAGCCCUGGGCUCAACCCAGGAAGUGCAUUCGAAACUGUCUAGCUUGAAUCUCGGAGGGGGUCAGAGAAUUCCCGGUGUAGAGGUGAAAUUCGUAGAUAUCGGGAGGAAUACCAGUGGCGAAGGCGCUGACCUGGACGAAGAUUGACGCUGAGGUGCGAAAGCGUGGGGAGCGAACAGG
rnacentral:rRNA from 1 species